GCCAGGUGUGGUGGUGCAUGCAUGUAAUCCCAGCCAGUAGGGAGGCUGAGGCAGGAGGAUCUCAAGUUCAAGGCCAGCCUCAACAAUGUAGCAAGGCCCUAAGCAACUCAGUGAGACCCUGUCUCUA
rnacentral:sRNA from 1 species